GCUUGUGUUAGCAUUUAUAGUAACGUUUAAAAGGAAAAAUACCCCACUACCAAUAAUUGCAAUGCGUCCAGCUGGAGUACUUGCUCUUCAGAAGAGAGAUUGAUAGUUGGAUCCUGAUCAUCUGAUCUACACUGGAACAGGACCACAACUUCCCUGAAGACAAUGCUAUGAGCCAAAAGGGAACAGCCUUGAAAUUGGUAUUGUACCUGUUUCCCUGGUCAUCUUUUACAGGAAGACAAACAUGACCUGUCCUUCUUGCCCUGAAGGAGACAAACAACAACUUCAUCUCAGACAUAGGAGAACUGAGACUGAGAAAAGGAGAAGACUUUUCAAAUCACCUUGAGGGACAGAGGCUGAACCAGAACUCUGGACUCCAUGAGCUGUCAUAAAUCCCCUGAAAACUGUCUUAGACACAGGUAAUGACACUACAGAGAGUCUCUUGCACACAGAAGC
rnacentral:lncRNA from 1 species